GUAGGUGAACCUGCGGAAGGAUCAUUAUCACGUAUCCACGUAUCAACCAUUGUGAACUGUUCUACCGUUGAAAUGUGUGGGGGAGUGUUGCAAUAAACGUUUUCUUCUCUGGAAGAAAGAAGCAGUCAUGAUUUGAAGUUGUUUUAGUCUAUUGUGGCCCACAAUUCUAAAUUGUCUCCCACAUUUUCAGCGAGUAUUUAAUUUCAAAUCAUUUAUUAACCAUUUAAACCCAAUUUAUCUUAAAUUGUGA
rnacentral:misc_RNA from 1 species